GAGAAACACCGCACAACACGUUUGCGGCUAUGCCAACUUCACUUCCGAGCAGUUCCUAUCCACUACCACCAAGUGGAUGAGUACAUGCCCGAUUUUGACCAAAAAUAUGCAGAAAGAAGACACGAGAUGUUAGUACAGGACGUAGAGUGUUGAAAAAAAUGCUAUUCCAAUACCUGCAAGUAAAUCUGAAAAGUGUAAACAGAGGGAGGCUGCAAAUAUUAAAAGAGCAGAGAGAUGUGCUAGAAGAAGUCUGAAAGAAGAAUCUCGUAAAGUAAAAUCAACUAUGCAAAUUCAAGAAAACACAAACAUACCAAACAUUGGACCAGGCGUAUCUAAACAUGGAGUAUCUGAGAAAAUUCAACGUGAUGGGGAUUGUAGCGAACAAAUAUUUAUAGUUAAUGAAUCAAAUGUAGAUGAUCUGCUAAAUUCAGUUAUUAGUCCACCAAAAAAUUCAAAAGUAGUCGUUGAUGAGCCAGAGUACCAUGAUGAUGGGUGUGAUGAUUUACAGAAACGAAUAGAUGCUUUGGAUAUACAAAGUAAAACACAAGAGUUUACUGAAACUGUUUGUCAAGACGAAGCUGGUAAAAGAAAUGAGAUGAAUGAUAAAAGUGUGCAAGUCAAUACAGACAAUUUUAUUCUUACUUUG